UNCCACAUUGCAAUGAGGGGCUUGCUAGU
rnacentral:piRNA from 1 species